GCGGCUGCGGCUGAGUACCUGAACCUACAUCAUGGUAAGAAUGUAGCCCAUAGAGAAAUAUGUGGGUCAGCAAAAGAUACGUAUAGAGAAUGUGGGGGCACAUGCAAAAUAUAAAUAAUAUCAUAAAUUUCGUAAAAACGUAUAUAUGGACCAUAAUGACACACCUGUCUUGAGUGAAACUGAAUCAUGCAACUCAUAAUAUCUUAGAUAGGAAAUGUAGGAGAAAAACCUCAUAAAUUAUUAUAGAUCAUCAUAGGCAACUUAACUUACCACAUCAAAACUCGGAGUGACUCGGUAUUUCAAUAAACAAGACUCUUAUGGACAGGGAAGUUUUCUAUAAGCGAAAACCCCAUGUGAGCUACAUGGAAUACCAAUAUUUGAAACCCCCAUUGGCGGGAGUGUCAUACUUUUUGCCUAGGAUAAGACCUUAAAACUGUAAUAAUCACAAUCGGGCUCUCUGACCAAUAAUAUCAUCAUCAAAUAACCCUACGGUGGCACAUAGGUUUGGGAAAAUAUCAAAUUUUUCUCUCAAUGCUAAGUACUACUCCCCAACAAACUCAAAACGCGUUAGGAAAUCCACCACAACAUCACAAGGGUCUAUCAUAAAGACCAAAUCAAAUCUCUUUCUCAUUUAUCAAAUCAUAUCAAUUUGUGAAUUCCUAACUCAACACAUUUUAGCUCAAAACAUUUUAAUCUUCUUCAACAUUAACAAGGUAUCAAUGCGUUUAACCAUAAUCGACUUGACAUUUGGACAAGGAUAUGAAGAGUCAAUACAUAAUAUUUUCAACAAUUUAACUCAUCAAAACCAUCUGAAAAAUAUCAAGACUCAUUACAACUUUACUAUCAACGUUUCUCAAUUUUCCAUCCAACUCUCAUUUAAAGGUACUUGAGACAUCAACCCAUAGUAGGGAUAUAAAAUUUCCAAUAUCAAUUAUAAAUUAUAAUAAGGAAAUAGUGGAAUGAUAGUACAAAUCAAGGCUUGACAAAUUAAAUCAUCAUACUCUCAUAAUCAAAUACUUUUUGGACAUAAUUCCAUCUCAACAUCAUACACAUAUCGGAUGACAUAAUCCCAUAGAUCAUGGAUAAUAAUAUAAGAUAUAAAACCAUAUUUCCAAUUCAUGGUAAAACAUGUAAAAUCUCAUAUCAAUGUAAUUCAACAAAAAUACCGGGCACAAGAUCGAAAGGAUAAUCUUGUUCAAAUUCCCACAUACCUAAAAAUGGAAGAUGAAUAUGAACUUCCGACUUCGGAACUUUAUUCACAAAAAUAAAGAAUGCUUCUCGAAGCCCUUAACAUGAUCAACUCGAAUCGCAAAUCAAUUUGAAAUUUCUAUGGUUCAAUCAAGAGACAUAGAAGGAUGAAAUUUGGAGUAGUAGGGUUGGGGUUUGAGCCUUAGGAAAUUUUGGAGAAAAAUGAGCUAUUGAAUGCUCUUAAUGGACUUAAAUCCAUGGUUUAUCCGGAUGGAUUGGAGUAGGAAUGACCAAAAUACCCUUAAAAAUUAAAUAAUAUCAAAUCUGUCCUUUGGUGGACUGUUUUGAUAGGCUGAAGUAGAUCGACCAUAACAUUUUGCUUUGAUGGCCAAAUUGGAUGAAACUAAUUUCAUUGGAAAGAGGACUUUCAGAGUUUUAUGUUGAUAUAUAGUAUCUCACCCAGAUCAUUAUGUACAAGGAGUUAUGAUCGUUUGAAGUUGACCCUAAAAUGCGCCUAGCCUUAGUAUUUUUUCCUGGAUAUUUACUAUUCACCACUAUGCACGGUUAGAUCAGAAUGAUCAUAACUCAUCGCUCAAGUGCCCUUUUUGGAUGAUCCACAUAUCAUUGGAAAUAUUAUUCGAUGCUCUACACAAUGACGGGUUGCAUAUCUAGAAAUUCCACACAAAAAAAUUAUUAAUCACGAUAAAGAACAGAAUUCAAUACAUUUUCUUUCGAGAUCUUAACAAAAAAAAUUUCUGAGGCAUCACAAGGAGCUCUGAAGCUCCACUGUGGAUGUGUGAGACACUAACUAUGGAUUGUUUUAGGAGGAAUAGAGGUAGGCCAAAGAAAUAUUGGAGGGAGAUUAUUAGGCAUGAUAUAGAGUAGUUACAUCUUAUGAAAAACAUGACCCUUGAUAGAAAGGUGUGAAGAGCGCAGAUUAGGGUAGAGGGGUAGGCGUGAGAGUGCGUCGGUAAUAGUAGGAGAACGUUCUUUAUUUGAGUAUGAAGUUUCUUGUUCGUGGUUUAGUAGUAUUUUGUGGCUGUAUUAUUAUUUUGCAGACUUACUAGUUUAUAUGUAUUUAUGAUUUGUGUUUGUUAUACUGCUAUCAUUCUUAAGUCGAGGGUCUAUUGGAAAUAGCCGCUCUACUUCAUUUGAGGUAGUGGUAUGGUCUAUAUACACUCUACCCUCCCAAGACCCCACUAUGCGGGAAUACAGUGGGUAUGUUGUGUUGUUGUUGUUGUUGUAUUUAUUUAGAAAAGAAUGAAAUUAAACCUGUACAAAGGUUGCCUAUGUAUUUUGUGAAAAGAAGAAUCAGGUCUGCGUAGUUCAGGAAGAUUUGUAAAUUUAUAUGUGACAUGUGUGAUUGUAAAAAAUUGGUGGUCAUCCUUGAAAAUAAUGUUAAAGAUUAUCAGAAAGGAACUUCUUGUAGCAUCAAAAUUAUUUCGAUCAAACGAUCGAGAGGAUGGAUUUCAAGCAUGAUGAGAGUUGUGAAACUACUUCAAUAUGUCGACAAAAUUGGGAAGGUUAGAUACUGAAGAAGUUAUGAUUUAUUUUGAUGUAGUUGAUAGGAUUGUUAUGAUUGAAAAAUGUUGAACCCUUGAUUUUGAAAGUGAGGAUCGAUACGCCAUAAUUUAAUAGUUUAUGAAAUUUAAAAAAAGAAGCUAGGUGUUCUUGAACCAAACUCGGGUAAGGAUUUGGAGGUAGGCCAUUUAGGCGCUAACAUAAUUGAGAUUUUUGAAUUAUGAGAUGUUAUUUAUUUGCGCUCUUUGAAGACCUUUGGAGAGUGUCUUUGAACUGUUUCAAAAAAUUAUCCCAGUUUGAAUAUCGGAGAAAUUAUUCGGAAUAGGAAAGAGAUCAAACCCUAAUAUAGGGUUGUUUACGUAUCUUGUCAGGACAAGAAUCAGGUCAAAAUGUAGUUCAAACCUAUUUGUGAAUUUGAAUAUGGCAUGAUCUAUUUCUAGAAUAUGAAUUUUCAUAAAUGGUUGAGAGUAGGGACUGAAUAAUUGCGGAAAGGCACACUAACCUAAAUGUGCCACUUUUGAAACUAUGAAAUUCAAAUAAAGUUUGGGGAAGUGUAAGACACCUCUGCGUAAACCAAGGUGUGUGAAUUGUAUGGCCAAAAACUCGAUGGAAUUGUUAUUUAUGAUUAAAUGAAGUAAAAAAAUAAUGUGUAGCAUUUUUCACAAUAUACAAGUAUAGCGUAUUGAACAAGUAAUGAAUAAAGGAAUUAAUAAUACAGCAAAACUAACUUAUGUAAGUAAUGUAAGGAAUUUAUAAGCAAAUACACAUAAUUUGCAGUGUGGAACAGGUAAAGAAUCAAAGAAUUUAAUCAUAUGCAAAAAUGUAAAGAUACCUUCCUCAUUGAGAAAUUGAGUCUAUCAUGGUUAGAAAUUUUUGUUAUUCCCUGCGAAGUCAUCAUUCUGUCAUGCCAUAUUUUUUUCAAGAUUAAACAAGCACAACUUAAAGACUCUAAAAGAAUUAAAAUUGUGUAGAAUCAACACCUAAUUUUUAGAGAAAAUAAGAAAACUUAUUUAUUUAUUAACAUUGUUGUUUAUGUUUUUGUUUGGAAAACCAAUUUAGAUUCUAGGUAAGGGCUCAAAUUAUCUCAAAGAGAAGGGGUUAGGCACCCUUUAAGAUCCACAAAUAUGGUACUCGGCUAGACUAAAUUUACUAAAGAGGGAGGAGGUAAGAAAUUAUUUUUUUGUAAAAUAUAAGUAAAAUUAAUGUAAGGGAUGUAUGUAUAUUAAGUAUUAAUCUAUUGUUAUAAAAGGUAUGUGUAAAAAAUGUAUAAAAUACAUGUAAAAAGAAAAAUAUUUUGUAAUGUAUGAAAAGAAAAAUAUCUUUGAUGUGAUAUAAAAAGAAAAAGUAUUUACAAAUAAUAUGUUUACUUAAUUAAAAUUACAGAGAAAAUUAAAGACUUGUUUGAGGAGAAAAUACUACAUAAUAUCUAUAAUGUAAAUCUGUGGAUUAAUUGAUUAACUCAAUUCUUGUGUGUAAUUAUUAAUGGCCUAAAUUUUGCCUAAACGAGUGUUAUAUAAGUAAAGAAUAUUCCCCUCUGACACCCCAAAAAGUAUAGUUUUUACUAUGUUUAAUGUGUACAAUUAUAAGAAAAAAUACAAAUAUAAAAUUCUCAUUUUGAAUGUCAUUUUCGACAAGUAUUUUUGAAAACCUAUACAAAAACAUUAAUAACAAAGAAAAAUAAUCUAGAAACGAUGUGUGCAUGUAUGUAUACACAUAUACAUAAAAAUAGAUUUUUGUUUCAUUAAAGUGUGGACUCCAAUCAUGUUUUUAGAUACGUCAUGGUUACGAAGUGGUUGCUCGAUUUAUCGGUCAUCCUAAAUCUCCUUGCAAAGAUAAGAAUCGUAAAAUCCUUUGUGUUGUCUUGAUGUUGUAAGGAUUUCAUCGUCGCUCAUAAUACUUAUUUUGUUACGUAUUUUUAUAUGUAAUAUCCGUCUUUAAUUUGCGGAGGCCUCAAAAAUUGACAGAGAAUUUCUUCAUCGGCCAUGUACUUAUUUUGAUAUAAAUAAGUAAAAUUGAGAAAUAAAAAUCCAUAUUUUGUCAUGGGAUGGAAACAUAAUAUUAAGGAAAACAGAGACAAUAUCGAAAAUAGAGACAAUAAGAAAAACAGAGACAACACCGAGAUAAUGGUGGCAGCAGCACAACGGCGUUCGCCGGAGCAACGCUGGAUAAUCAAAAUCCAUUCAGAUUUGGCUUGCCAUGGUAUGGCAGUGGUGAUGGAGAGAGGAGAAAGGGAAUGGCGGCACUGGUCGUUGUCUGGUGGCUGGAUGCUCGUUGGUCAUCACCUCCGGUGAGCCAGCGAUGAAGCGCAGAGGAGGAAGAAAUUCCGAUCGUCCAACAUUUAACUUCGAUGAUGGAAGAUCGGUGAGGAAGGAAAAUACGAUAGAAAAAAGCAUUUGGCAGGCGGUGUUGGUGUGCUCCGGCAGAGCUUUAUCUGAGAACGAGCAGUGGCAAUAUGCGACAAUGAGGGUAGAUGGAGAGGAAUCUAAUUUUGGGUAUCUG
rnacentral:lncRNA from 1 species